rnacentral:antisense_RNA from 1 species
AGCCAAACAAGGGAAUUAUUAUCAAGUUGAAGAAGAAUGUGUCCUUGCCAAGGGAGGACGAAAAUCUCAAUUAAAAUAUCCCCCAGUAUGUUUUCUUUUUGCUUUUUUAAGCUGAGAGAGUAAAACAAAAGGGAACUGUUUAUUUAUUUUUAAACAGUAUCUAUUCUACCCCAAAGUAGGGUUUUUGACCUCUUUCCCUUUCAAGCAUAGCUUUUUCCUUAAAACUGUGAUCAAGACAGAGUCUUAAAAGUUGUAUCUUUAUUAGGAUGGGAAAAGAAGAAAGUUCUAUGAUUUAUGCUCUUGCCUUUUGUAACGAAAGGAGCUAAUGACUUUCCACAGAAGUAUAAUUCACAAAAAGUAAAAUCCAUUCAUUUAUUACCACUUAACUAAGUGCUUUUUCUAAUUUGAAAGCAAUGCUACCUCCCAUGCCUGGUCUGCAUUUUGUAUUUAAUCUGAAUGGUUUCUUCAACAGUAGUUCUAAAUAAAUCAGCAAAAAGAAUCUAACAUUCUCUAUCCAUCUAGCCAAAUGCCUAGAUUGGCCAGAGGAGAAGGCAAAGCUGAAGAGUGACCUCUUCUUAUUGACUAGCAACUGUUAUUCUUAGUUUCUUUAUAUCAAGAGACAGGCUUAUCCUCAUCAUCAUCAAAUCCCACUGAAGGAUAUUAUUUGGAGUUAUAAGUUAACACUCUUCAACACUGGCAAGCCUGUGAAAUAAAUAAAGGCAGAUUUUUGUGCCCUUUCUUGUCUCUUCACCUCCUCUAAUAACUCUUGUCCCCUUAGAGACGUCCUGAGACAUCUAUACCUCUGCCCUUCCCCUGGCCAUGAUGCACCAGGCUGAUUGCAGUGCAGUGUGAAUGAUGGCCCACUUUCUCCAUGUCAACCCUGCAGCACCUCUGCUGAGAUCUUUUCUAAAUCUCAGCUGCUCUUUCAACCAAAAUGCACCUGCAGAAGCAAAACUUUCAUUCUCUCGAGUUAGGUAAACUGAAAUAUAACUUAAGACUCUAAUGGCUAAUGUAGCUUACUAUAUUAGCUUACUAAGAAGACCCUAAAUUUUUUUCAUGGACUGCUUAAUGCUUUUCUCUAAAUAAAUGAACAAUAUGGAAAUUUCAUGAA